UACGUAGGGGGUGAGCGUUGUCCGGAGUUACUGGGCGUAAAGGGCAUGCAGGCGGUCGGACGCGUUUCGGGUGACAGCGGGUGGCUUAACUACCCGAGUGGUCGAAAGACGGUUUGACUUGAGGACGCGAGAGGGACACGGAAUUCCGGGUGGAGUGGUGAAAUGCGUAGAGAUCCGGAGGAACACCGAAGGCGAAGGCAGUGUCCUGGCGCGUAACUGACGCUGAGGUGCGAAAGCCAGGGGAGCGGAACGGGG
rnacentral:rRNA from 1 species